UAGUAUAGCAUCUAUACGGUGAAACUGCGAAUGGCUCAUUGAUGGGCCGUUCGUCUUACAGCGAGCCUCCGGGGGCUUGCGACGCUACUAAAAUGUGGAAAUUGCUUGGCCGUCUGCGCCUGGUGAAUCCGCAGCCAGCUGUUUCGCUGGUUCAACGACUAAAUAGUACAGGCUGACUUUCUUAGCAGCCGAGAUAUAGUCUAACCCCCCGAARAGAUUCGGGCGGUACAGUGCAUUAAAUCAGUUAUCGUUUAUUUGAUAGUACCUCACUACUUGGAUAACCGUGGUAAUUCUAGAGCUAAUACAUGCUAAAAACCUCGACUUUGGAAGGGGUGUAUUUAUUAGAUAAAAAACCAAUGCCCUUCGGGGCUCCUUGGUGAUUCAUAAUAACUUAACGAAUCGCAUGGCCUUGCGCCGGCGAUGGUUCAUUCAAAUUUCUGCCCUAUCAACUUUCGAUGGUAGGAUAGUGGCCUACCAUGGUGGCAACGGGUAACGGGGAAUUAGGGUUCUAUUCCGGAGAGGGAGCCUGAGAAACGGCUACCACAUCCAAGGAAGGCAGCAGGCGCGCAAAUUACCCAAUCCCGACACGGGGAGGUAGUGACAAUAAAUACUGAUACAGGGCUCUUUUGGGUCUUGUAAUUGGAAUGAGUACAAUUUAAAUCUCUUAACGAGGAACAAUUGGAGGGCAAGUCUGGUGAACCAGCUGGCGCCAGACCAUAAAUAGGUGGGUCACCUCGGGGAGGUAGCCCGCCAGGCAUCCGGUACGGGGAAGAGCCCGAGGGCUUUAUCCCGUGGCGAGGGGCAACCCUCGCUGUAACGCAUGGCAGGAUGCCGGCGACCCCCCGGGGCCGUUUGAGGGACAUGCUAUUCGAAUCCGGCGAGGGAUUCAAGGGUCGUUCCACCCGGAACUUCCCCGUAAUGCAGGCCAGCAGCCGCGGUAUUCCAGCUCCAUAGCGUAUAUUAAGUUGUGCAGUWAAAGCUCGUAGUGAACCUUGGCUGCUGUCGUCGCUCACGCGUGCACUGG
rnacentral:rRNA from 1 species